UGCCAGUCUGCGAGGUUUUUGCUUUCAUGUCUGGACGGAGGAGAAGUCUAGAGUCGCUGAUGUGUAUUCAAGAUGACUGACCAUCACUAGAGCUAACUGACAUAAUCAGUGCCUGAAGAUUUAAGUGGAACUGAUGGAACCAUGUGCCAGGAUGUACAGGCUCCCUAGGAAGGACUCUUGACGAGAGACAGGAUCAAGCAGGCCGGGCAUGGUGGC